UUUGUACUCCCUCCGUCCCAAAAUUCUCAUCUUAAAUUUGUCUAAAUACGGAUGUAUCUAGUUACAUUUUAGUGUUAGAUACAUCUGUAUCUAAACAAAUGUAAGACAAGAAUUUUGGGACGGAGGGAAUACUAC
rfam:Triticum aestivum genome assembly, contig: Triticum_aestivum_CS42_TGACv1_scaffold_031246_1BL